GGCGGUGUAGCUCAGCGGUAGAGCAGCCGGCUCAUACCCGGUAUGUCGGUAGUUCGAAUCUACCCUCCGCCA
rnacentral:tRNA from 1 species